rnacentral:rRNA from 1 species
UGAGGAAUAUUGGACAAUGGGCGAGAGCCUGAUCCAGCCAUGCCGCGUGCAGGAAGACUGCCCUAUGGGUUGUAAACUGCUUUUGUACAGGAAGAAACACUCCCUCGUGAGGGAGCUUGACGGUACUGUAAGAAUAAGGAUCGGCUAACUCCGUGCCAGCAGCCGCGGUAAUACGGAGGAUCCAAGCGUUAUCCGGAAUCAUUGGGUUUAAAGGGUGCGCAGGCGGGAAAUUAAGUCAGUGGUGAAAGCCCCGAGCUCAACUUGGGAACUGCCAUUGAUACUGAUUUUCUUGAAUAUAGUUGAGGCUGGCGGAAUACAACAUGUAGCGGUGAAAUGCAUAGAUAUGUUGUAGAACACCAAUUGCGAAGGCAGCUAGCUAAACUAUUAUUGACGCUGAGGCACGAAAGCGUGGGGAGCGAACAGGAUUAGAUACCCUGGUAGUCCACGCCCUAAACUAUGUUCACUCGAUAUUGGCGAUAUACAGUCAGUGUCCAAGCGAAAGCGUUAAGUAACCACCUGGGGAGUACUUCGCAAGAA